GCUGAGGCAGGCUCCUCAGAUGACUCAUUUCAUUGAAACCUCACGCCUUCCCCAUGACAGUGAGCAUUGUCCACCCAUCUCAGGUGAGCAAACCGCAGCUCAGAGACUUCGCUCUCCUUACCCCGAGUCAGAAAGCGGCGUAAACCGGAAGCGAUGCUGACAUCACCACCAGUCUGGCUCAAAACACUUUCAGGCAUCAGCAGACCGAAUGAGCAGACCUCUAUACCCAACAUCGCCCCAAAAUUCAGCAAUGGCUGUAAUGUGUGAAGAGAGGCUGAGACCAUGGCAAGUGAUGUGUGUGCUACAAGCAGGGGCCACAGGCAAGGACUCAGAUCUCCUGUGUCAGAGGGAGUGACAACCCAUCAGCACUGUGGCUGCUGCACUGAGGGACUGUAUGUUCCAUAUCCUCCACCCCCAAAUCCAAAGGAAGAGUAAAGAGGAAAAAAAAGAGGCCGGUAAUGAGACUCCAGAGGGUGUCUUGGUCACAAUCGUUAAGAGUCACUUGUUUAAUUGUAGCCCAUUUUGAAACUGGCUUGUGAGAAAGUCGGAACUCAGAAGUCACAUCAAGCUGCCAAAAUCAACCCUUCCUUUAACUUUCCUUCUCUGAAUAGGCAGUCGUUCUAACAACUCCGAGAUGACAAGACCAAACUACAUUAGGCCAGCCCACAGCGCUUGCAAAAGAGCUCACAGGGGUGACGUCCACUUUAAGAUGCAUGCAAAGCUGGAAACAGAGAGAAGGUUACAGACAAGGCAAGGGGUGCAAAGGUAGACACUGGCUCCUAAAGCCUCCCAUGCCUGCCCCCAGAGCGCAUCUAAACUCAGAGGCCAGCUCAGCCCACUUGGGUGACAUACUACCUACCACUCAUGAAGAAGGAGCCGGACUCCAAGACGACAAGGAGCUCUUUAUAUCACCUGGGAACCAUGAACUGGAGUGAGAUAAAGUGGCUGAGGGAGACUCUGUGCUGCUCCUCUCAGAAAGACUGAAACGCCCUUUGGCUGAAGGGGCUUUCGGUGCAGGAGGCAGUGGAUGGGUGGGGAAUGGUCCCAGGGGAACAAGAGAUACUUUCUAAUCUAGAAGAUUCCUGAAAUUACAGAUCAAUGUUCUUCUUUAGCUGUGUAAGGCAGUCAUAUGCACAGUUCUAGUCAACAAAAAAUAAAAACGCCUGGUGAGUUUUCCCAGUUGAAAAGAUUGUGUAUCCUUGGGAUGAAGGGGCAGUCUUCAUCUUUCUUACAUUAUUUCUUAAUAGCCGAUAAACAGACUGGAGGUGCUACCUGCCCUUUGUGACUACGGACAGCAAGCAUAGAAGUGAAGGCUUAAAUGUUAACGGCGGCAGAGGCAGGGCUCACAGUGAAAUGCUGGCUACCAAUCCCUGAACCUUUGUAAGACAAGCCCUAGUGUUUAAGCCGUUCUUGUACAGGGUGUCUCAGACUGAGCUGCAAUCACAAACUACCACAGAUUGAGUGGCAUAAACAACAGAACUUCAUUCCUCUCUAUGAAGGCUAGAUGGCUGAGAGAGGAGCUAGUAGACUCUGUUCCUGGUGAGGCCUUCCUUCUUGACCUGAAGACAGUUGUCUCCUCAAGGAGUUUCUUCAUUCUCUACAAACAGAAAGCUGGAGUGUUUCCAGGAAAAGCUCCCCAUGGCCUCAAAGGAUGAUCAAGGGCUAAAGAAGUCAUCAGUGUCCCCAGCCGGAAAGGAGAAAUAGAGCAAUUAACACCAAGACAAGGAAACAUUCCAGUUUCCUCAGCUGAGACCUGGAAAAACUUCCUAACUAUGCUCCAUACCAAGAGAAAGCCAGGAGAGUAUUUCUAGCUGCCUCCAAGAGAAAGAGUUCGUACACUGUGGUUACAUUCUUUACACACGUUACAUUCUUUCUGUUUUCCUCCAGACCUUAGCAGAUUGUCGAUCUUAACACGCCUGAACUGUGUUUAGGCCAUGCUUCUCCUGAAAGCCUAACCCCAGGGGAGCUCUGUCACAAAAGGAUUUGGUUUUUGUGCAGCACUCAUAUUCUUGGCAACAUUUAAGGAGCACCACGGAAAUCCUCCACCCACAGACAUGCCCGGAUUUGUGAGUUCUGACCCACAGCCCACCAACGAUACAGACGAAGGCCAGAUUUGCCUUACAACACUAGUGUCUGGAAGCUUUAUAUGGUACUAAACUCAAGGGUCCAAGAAUCUUGGGAAUUUGCUUGAUAUUAAGACUAAGAAAAGCCCUCAAGAAAUUUCUAUAAAUCUUCAAAAAGGCUUCUCUCUAUUUUUUUUUUACACUGGGGAUUGGACCUUAUGCAUGGCCGGCAAGAAUUCUACUAUUAAAGUAUACUCCCAUCCCCCAGAAAGCAAACAUCCUUGAGAAACUGUCCUUAUAACUGAGCAUCUCUGCUGAUACAGUAUAAAAGUAGCCACAUAUGUCCUAUGAAUGAAUGAAUGUGGCUCUGUUUCAAUAAAACUUUAUUUACAAAAAAUAGGCAAAUGACAAGAUUACUCUUCUGGGUUGUAGUUUGACUUGUCUGUUUCUAAGGGGAAGAAAAACCAAAACAACAACAACAACAAAAAAAAAAAACCUAGACCCCAGAAUUAGAUUGAGAUUAAUAAAGAUAAAUAAAUGGGACCCUGCACUAGCCAAAUCUAUAAAAAGAAAUGAAGCUGGGGCAGAGAGGACAAGAAAAUUCCAAACAGCAAUAAAAAGGCUGCAGCAGGAGUACGGGAGGAGACUUUCUAUUGAGUGUCCCAAGACAUUUAAAAUUAGCCUUGCUCCAGCUACUGCCUGGAGACAUCUGGGGAGUAGAAACCUAGUGACAAUCAUCUGGCC
rnacentral:sRNA from 1 species